UCAUUCAGGAAAAAAUCCUGGACCCAUGGGGUAAUGUCCAGGUGGUCCUCACCAACAAGGAGGUGACUGGUAUUAAGUACCUUGGUAGAAGGAUCCAUGGACUCAGGUCUUGCCUCGUCAAGAGGAGGUCAGAGUUCACCUAUUAUGAGGACGCCCAGCAGGUGGAUAUCUCCACCACAGUGGAGGGGUUCCAGGAGAGGGGGGAUGACAUGAUGACGUAUCAGUUCUCUACCUCUGACAUUAUCACCACCCCUCAUGAGCCGUCCUCUGGCUCCUCUCAGCAGUUCCCCCAGGAUUCUCCACCUCCCCCUCCGCCUCCCCCGUUCCCUUCACCUCCACCUUACCACUUCACCCAGGACCAGACCCCUGAC
ensembl:lncRNA